UUUAUAAAUGGAGUUCAUAAAUAGUUAAAAUUGGGUAAAAGGUGUGCUGGUUAAAAGUAUAAAUAUAAUAUUUAGAGUUUAAUAAAUAAGACUAUUUACAGAUAAAGUUAAAUUCAUUAUAGAAAGUUUUUUUUAUGUUUCAUUUGAGAGAAAAAGUAGAGAAGAAGAAACUGUGUUUAUCUGUGUAACCUAAUCUGUUACCUGUCACCUGUCAAUCAUUUAAUUCCCGUUUUGCUUUUGGUUGUGUUAGUACUUGAGCCAAUCAGAGUAACAUCAUUGUGUAAGGGGCGGGACUAGUGGGACAGGUUUGUGUGAGGAGUAGUGAGCACGUAUGGAAAACGGAGAAGAGACGCUAUAAUGAGAGCGUUAAUGAAGGAGGCAUCGUGGUGUGGGAAGCAUUAAUGUUUUAUGAAGGUCGACUACUCGUGGUCCUUACAACAAAAAACUUUGGUGUGACCUGCAAGAGGUGAAUAUGAUUGUGUAUGCCUGUAUUUUUGUGCUAUAUCGAACUGUUAUAGUUAAGAGACUGGAUGUAUAAUGUAAUUAGUGACAUGCUAAUUAGCGGUAGCAUUCUGUGCCAAUGUGCUCAUAUGUUUUAGUAAUAGUUUUAGCAUUGUGAUAUCGCUAACGCUAAUUCAAUAAGAAAUAGUGUUUGAUAAUGUGGCUAAAUACAGAUAAUAUGCUCUAAGGAGACGGACGUUGGUGAGCGAGAGACUGGUUUUCCAACCGAAGGCCCUGCUGUUUCUGCUUUGCUGUUUCUGUGUGCCCUGCCGUGAUCAUCUGUGCUGUGCUUCUUCCUUUGCCAUUACCAUCGCUAUUGCCAUUACCAUCGCUGUACUAACUUAACCUGGAUUCGUGAGUACUAACAUUCACCUGCACGUGCUUUUUUGUUUAUGCUCAGUUUCUGAGUGAAGCGGCCAUUCCAGUUUUUAGGCCUCACCGCACACAAAGUGUCAUCGAACAGGCCUGCAACGGGGUUGGACAUAUUUUCAGAGGGAAUGAAUGAUUGUUUAAUUUCAAUAUAACCACAGAAAGGUUUUUUUUUUUCCUUUUGGGAAAGUGAAGUUUUCUUUUAUUGUUUUAGUUUUUUUAUUUCAUAUCUUUUCAUGCUUAUGUGAUUUGUUUUAUUUUAUUCUAAGAUACAUUUAUCUUUUAUUUAAUGUUGUAAAUAAAUACUUGUUAAUAUUUUUUGCAAUCAAAAUACAGUUGUGGUGGUCUUUAUAAGAAUAGCCAAGAGUAUUACAAAUAUACAUUUAUUAAGUAACAUAUAAAACAAGUUGUAUUUUUCCUACAACGAGCCCAGGCCCAGUCUCAUUGUAUUAACCACUCUAGCUUUAUUUUCUAACUACAUGGGACCUGGGUUACAUAAAAUGGAGGCACCGCUGGGAUUUAUUUAACAUAAACAGGAAUUUAUAAACAUAGAGUACAAGCCAUUAGACCCCACAACUUUAGAGCAGUAGUAUAGAGCAUUUGUAUAAAAAUAACGUGCUAACAGUAACUAAAAGCAAUUUAAGUAAAGUACAGCAUGGCAAGCCAAACAAGUAGUUCAUCACAACGUGAGCUAAUUAACUGGUGCAAAGGAGAAUCAUUAGAUUUAAAGCAUGCCCUCCUUUUACAUGGAGUGCCAGAAGGUGUUUCAAGAGAAGAGAUUGAAGAAACAGCAGGGACUAUCAAAGCAUUGGGAAAAGUUAGAGUGAGAGGCAAAAUGUUUCACCCUCAACAACAAUCAGUAAUGGUGUUAUGUGAGUGUCGUGAAGAGAUUGACCCUUCCAAAAUCCCACCUGAGAUAAUGCCUAUAAGUGAAGGAAGUGGUUGGAAAACUGUCUAUUACACAGAGCCUCAGCUUGAUAACUUUGAAGAGAAGCUACUUUCCUUUUUGCAGAGCGAAGGGAGAACCUUAGAUGACUUGCCAGGUUUAUGUUCACUCACCAAAGAGGGUAACAGUAACCCUGAAGACAUCAUCCGUGCGGUCGGUGAUGUUAUGACCAGAACAAAUCAACAACAUGACAGUCACCCAUACAGACGUCUGCGGACAUUCUCCGGGGUCAGUCCCACCCCAACUGGAGAAGAGACCUUAGAUAACUGGCUGGAACAAGCAACACUCUUAGUAGAGGAAGGUGAGUGCUCCGACAAAGAAAAACGGCGUCGGAUACUGGAGAGUCUUAAAGGGCCCGCCUUUGAAAUCAUUCAAGCUGUGCGCCUGACUCAACCUGAUGUUAGCCCAAGUGAGUACAUAAAGGCUAUAGAGAGCAUUUUUGGUACAGUAGAGUCCGCAGAAGAACUAUACUUGUCGUUUAGAGCCCUCCACCAACAGUCUGGUGAGCGUUUGUCUGAGUUCCUACGAAGAGUAGAAAAAUCUCUUGUCAAAGUAGUACAGGGAGGUGGUUUACCUGUUAGCGCUGCCAAUAGCGCUCGUUUAGAGCAGCUUCUUAGAGGGUCUACCUCUGAACUCAUGUUGCUUCAGUUGAAAAUUAGGGAGCGGAGUAGUAGUCCCCCUACAUUCUUGAACCUGUUAAGAGAAGUGAUGGAAGAGGAGGUUCGCCAAUUAGCCAAACAAAGCCAUUUGUCACACAUGCGUCCUCAGCGUGUACGCACUGUCCAAGCUGAAAAGGAGAAAGAACCUGAAUCAGUCUCUAGGAGUGAACUGCAAGCUCAGAUUCGAGAAUUGAGAGCGCAGCUAGAGCAGAGAAACAACCUACAACCUCAGCCAAUCUCUGAUGAAUCUUUUACAGGUCUGAAAGAGAAACAAAAACAAAAAAAUGAGUCACAGAGUGAAUUGCAAUCGCUAAGGAAACAAGUGAAAGCCUUAGAAAAUAAAAUGAGUGUAAUGGCAGUGAAAUACACAUCAGACCCCCCACGAGAACACACACCUCAGCCUCACCGAUACAAAACAGCUCCAGUUCACAAGCCCGCUCAUUCCAAAGUUUUUCCUCCCCGACAAGACAAGGAUGAGUUUUUCUGUUAUCGGUGUGGGGAAAAUGGACACAUAGCCACCAGAUGUACUGCCCCUGAGAAUCUCCAGAAAGUUAUUAGAAAGCUUAUACGCUUAGUGCGAGUUUCCCCUUUACCAAACAAAGAGAACCCAAAUCCUGCAGCUGAAGAGCAGCAUGUAGCUAGAACCAAUAAGGUUGAAGUCUCAGAACCUAACACUGACUUACCUGAAGGUCUCGUAGGUCCAUCAUUUAUACACACCAUCAAAGUUAAUGAUGUGGUCUGCAAUGCUCUUAUCGACAGUGGGUCUAACGUGACUAUUAUUUUUGAAAGCUGGUAUAACAAACACUUACCUGAUGUCCCGAUAAAACCCCUCUCUGGUCUUGGACUCUGGGGCCUUUCAGACACUGAGUUUCCUUACAAAGGAUAUGUUGUGGUUGAGAUGGAGUUCACUGAAGAGAUCACUGGUGUAUCGGGACGAGUAGAAGUGCUUGCUUUAAUCUGCCCUGAGCCAAGAAAUCAGCAACAAACCCCAGUAUUGGUUGGCACCAACACAUCUCUGUUUCGCCGCUUAUGGGAGCUGGUGAAGACAAAAGGUGACGAGAACAUUGUGCAUUCAAUGAGGAUUCAGUCUGUUUACGCACCUGUCAAAGCACAAGAGCAGUUUGCAAAAGAUGAAGUCUUGGGACAGAUAAAGUGGAAAGGACCUGGUUUACUCUCAAUUGCUCCAGGUGUAAAGUACUAUGCAACAUGCAAAGUGGAAAGACAGAGUGCCCCGUCCAAAGACCUUGUACUGAUUGAUGCACCCACUGAACAGUUGCUCCCUGCCGGUCUACUGGUACAGCCUGGUGUGCUCUCAGACGCCAACAUAGAUAAUAACAGUUUCACUGUCCUCAUUCAGAAUGAGUCCAAAAGGGCAACUUCCAUCCCAGUUGGGACCAUCGUUGCUGAGAUGUAUGCUGUUGACACAGUUACCCCAGUUCAGCUUUCCAACCUCCCAGCUGAAACUCUAGACCCAAGUCUUUUCAAUUUCGGGGACUCUCCAAUUCCUGAAGAGUGGAAAAGGCGGUUUCAGCAGAAGUUGGCUGAGAGGCGGAAUGUUUUCUCACUGCAUGAGUGGGAUGUUGGUCGCGCCAAGGGUGUUGAACACCACAUACGCCUGCAUGACCCCAGACCUUUCAGGGAGAGGUCAAGGAGAAUAGCCCCUGCCGACAUAGACGAUGUGCGGCGACACAUACAACAACUACUGGCCACUGGCAUUAUCACGGAGUCCCGUAGCCCAUACGCCUCACCAAUUGUGGUAGUCCGCAAAAAGAAUGGGAAGAUAAGAAUCUGCAUUGAUUACAGAACAUUGAACAACCGGACCACACCAGAUCAGUACACAAUGCCACGCAUUGACGAUGCCUUGGAUUCUCUAUCAGGCAGCCAAUGGUUUUCAGUUCUGGAUUUGCGCAGUGGUUACUACCAGAUAGAGAUGGCUCCGGAGGACAAAGAAAAGACAGCGUUCAUUUGCCCUCUCGGUUUCUAUCAAUUUGAGCGCAUGCCACAAGGAAUCACAGGAGCGCCAGCAACAUUUCAGCGCUUAAUGGAAAAGGCUGUAGGCGAUAUGCAUCUUCUGGAAGCUCUCGUAUACUUAGAUGAUAUCAUCAUUUUCAGCAAGACACUUGAGGAGCACGAGCAACGUCUUCUCAAGGUGUUGGACAGACUAGAGGAGGUCGGAUUGAAGGUUUCUAUUGACAAAUGCCAAUUCUGUCAGCCCGAGGUCAAGUAUGUGGGUCAUAUUGUUUCUGCUAAUGGAAUAGCUACGGAUCCAGACAAAGUGGAGGUAGUAAAGCAUUGGAAAGAGCCUACUCACUUGAAACCGCUGAAGUCCUUCCUCGGAUUUUGCAGUUAUUAUCGGAGGUUCAUUGCAAACUAUUCUGCCAUUGUCCGUCCCCUCUCCGAGCUCACUAAAGGUUACGCCCCCACUUGGCAAGACCCCAAGACUAAAAAAAGUGUUGACUCAAGCAAAGUCUAUUUCAAGCCGUCAGAGCCAUUCGGAGAGCGGUGGACUAAAACUUGCCAGGACGCUUUCGACCGUAUUCGUGACUGUUUGAUCAAUGCCCCAGUGCUAGCUUUCGCUGACCCCACAAAACUAUACAUCUUACAUGUGGACGCCAGUAUGAAUGGUUUAGGCGCUGUUCUGAACCAGGAAUAUCCUGAGGGCCUCAAGCCAGUAGCUUUUGCCAGUCGUAAGCUUAAAGAUUCAGAACACAACUAUCCAGUCCAUCAAUUGGAAUUUCUGGCAUUAAAAUGGGCUGUCGUGGACAAGUUUCACGAUUACUUGUAUGGAGCAAAGUUCAUAGUAAGAACUGACAAUAACCCAUUAACAUAUGUAUUGACCUCUGCCAAACUCAGUGCCGUCGGACAUCGUUGGCUCGCCGCCCUAGCCACCUACGAUUUCACCAUCCAGUAUCGACCUGGGAGGCACAAUGUUGAUGCUGACUUGUUGUCCAGACAGUACUCUUCAGAGGAGACAGAAGAGUGGACUAGUGUCCCACCUGCUGGCAUCAAAGCCCUCUGCAAAAGAGCCUGUGUCAGUGAAGAGGCGGAUGUGCCAGACAGAUUAGUUGAUCAAUUGGGAGCUCCUGCCACCGCAGUACCUGAAGCUUAUGUGUGUCCAGUGAACCUUAGCAUGAAUACACUUGACCAAUUGAGCUCAAAAGACAUUCAAGCAUCACAAGAUAUGGACCCAACAAUUGGACCAUUAAAGAAAGCUCUGGAGAAGAAUAAAUGCUUGACGCGCUCAGAGAAUGACUCACCGGAAACUGUGCUGCUCCUUCGUGAAAGCCGCAAGUUGGAGUUAAGAGAUGGAAUACUCUACAGAGUAAAAGAAAAGAUAUGCGGGAAACAGAUCAAACAACUUGUCUUGCCCACAAGAUACCGCCCAAUGGUGUUAAGGUCUCUACAUGAUGAGUGUGGACACUUGGGAGUCGAACGCACCACUGAACUGAUCAAGGACAGAUUUUAUUGGCCGCGAAUGACAGCUGAGGUCGAGCAGUACAUUCGAACCUGUGGUAGAUGUAUCUCCAGAAAGACACUCCCUCAACAUGCCUCGCCCUUAAACCAAAUAACAAGUAAUGGCCCCUUGGAUUUAGUUUGUAUCGAUUUUUUGCAAAUAGAGCCUGACUCUAAAGGUGUUGCUAAUGUGUUGGUAGUGACAGACCAUUAUACACGUUACGCACAAGCAUUUGUUACAAAAAAUCAAAAGGCUAUCACAGUUGCCAGGGUAUUGUGGGACAAGUAUUUUGUGCACUAUGGCCUACCUGCAAGGAUACACUCGGAUCAGGGCCGAGAUUUUGAAAGUCGCCUGAUAAAAGAACUCUUGUCCAUGCUUGGGAUUCGGAAGUCAAGAACAUCUCCCUACCACCCUCAAGGGGAUGCCCAACCAGAACGAUUCAAUCGAACACUUUUAGCCAUGCUUGGUACCCUGGAUGCCGUACAAAAACAACAUUGGAGUCAACAUAUAACUUACCUGGUACAUGCAUACAAUUGCACAAAAAAUGAUUCCACGGGAUACUCCCCUUAUCAUCUCAUGUUCGGAAGGGAAGCAAGGUUACCCAUUGACAUCUGUUUUGGAAUCUCACCAAAUGGUGAAAGUGAAACCUCCUACCAACAGUACGUGGCCAGGAUGAGGAAAGAGUUGCAAAAAGCUUAUCAGUUGGCAUCUGAUGCUGCUACAAAGAAUCACCUGAAAAAUAAAGCCCGAUAUGACCAACGUGUGAGAGACCUACCUUUGGAGAAAGGAGACCGAGUUCUCAUACAGAAUGUGGGUCUAAAAGGCAAACAUAAACUCCAAGAUCGAUGGAAAUCAAUACCAUAUGUUGUUGUGGAGAAGUUGCCUAACCUGCCUGUUUAUAAGGUCAAACCAGAGCAUGGUUCAGGUGUGCUGAAAACUCUCCAUCGAGAUCAUCUGUUACCCAUCGGUUACAUGGUCAGGAUGUUUAACCCAUCAGAUGAUGCAAGCUCUGUUCGGAGACCUGUAACAAGAACUCAACGUACUCAGAAACGUCAACCAACCAAGUCUGAAGAAAGUGACACAGAGUCAUCAGGUUCAGAGUUUGAAACCGUCCACAAAUCUCCAGAUUUUGAUAUGGAUGAGGUCCGGAGACGGCUAAAGAUAAAUCACUCUGUGGAGAAUGAUGAGAGUGACAACUCUGAGGAGGAUGGAAAAGCUGUGGAGGAAAGCUGUGAAGUUACAGAAACUCAACAACUUACAGAGACAGAGAAUGAGGAACCGCUUGAAGUUGAUGCACCUCCUAUGCCAUACUCUGAUGUCCAAGAGACAAAUUCUGAAUCUGUUGAAGAAGAUUCUCAAGAUUCAGAAGAGGGAGCAAAGUCACCUCCCUUACAAAGAAACAAACAUAAUAUAGCUGCUGAAAGAGCAAAAAGUGAAAGGUCUUCUACAGUCCGGACAUCCUUGAGAAAACCAAAGCCACCUAUAAGAUUUACUUAUGAGGAACCUGGUCAUCCAUCUUUUGAACCAGUUACCAUCAUGCACCAUGGCAUGGUCAUCCAACUCAAAAUGAACCCUCCAGACCAAGACAAUAAACCAAGGAAAAAGUCCAAAACAUCCCAAAGGUAUAUGGAGGAGGAUAAAAGGAAGAGGGACAAAAGGUGUGAUGAGGACAUCUACACAUUCAGAAGAGGGAGGGUGUAGCCCUGUACAAAAUUUCUAUAAAUUAGAGUUUAAAAGAUCAUUAACAGUGUAAUUCACACACACAUAAAGAAACCAAAAGAAAAGUUUAUAAAUGGAGUUCAUAAAUAGUUAAAAUUGGGUAAAAGGUGUGCUGGUUAAAAGUAUAAAUAUAAUAUUUAGAGUUUAAUAAAUAAGACUAUUUACAGAUAAAGUUAAAUUCAUUAUAGAAAGUUUUUUUUAUGUUUCAUUUGAGAGAAAAAGUAGAGAAGAAGAAACUGUGUUUAUCUGUGUAACCUAAUCUGUUACCUGUCACCUGUCAAUCAUUUAAUUCCCGUUUUGCUUUUGGUUGUGUUAGUACUUGAGCCAAUCAGAGUAACAUCAUUGUGUAAGGGGCGGGACUAGUGGGACAGGUUUGUGUGAGGAGUAGUGAGCACGUAUGGAAAACGGAGAAGAGACGCUAUAAUGAGAGCGUUAAUGAAGGAGGCAUCGUGGUGUGGGAAGCAUUAAUGUUUUAUGAAGGUCGACUACUCGUGGUCCUUACAACAAAAAACUUUGGUGUGACCUGCAAGAGAUAAUAUGCUCUAAGGAGACGGACGUUGGUGAGCGAGAGACUGGUUUUCCAACCGAAGGCCCUGCUGUUUCUGCUUUGCUGUUUCUGUGUGCCCUGCCGUGAUCAUCUGUGCUGUGCUUCUUCCUUUGCCAUUACCAUCGCUAUUGCCAUUACCAUCGCUGUACUAACUUAACCUGGAUUCGUGAGUACUAACAUUCACCUGCACGUGCUUUUUUGUUUAUGCUCAGUUUCUGAGUGAAGCGGCCAUUCCAGUUUUUAGGCCUCACCGCACACAAAGUGUCAUCGAACAGGCCUGCAACGGGGUUGGACAUAUUUUCAGAGGGAAUGAAUGAUUGUUUAAUUUCAAUAUAACCACAGAAAGGUUUUUUUUUUUCCUUUUGGGAAAGUGAAGUUUUCUUUUAUUGUUUUAGUUUUUUUAUUUCAUAUCUUUUCAUGCUUAUGUGAUUUGUUUUAUUUUAUUCUAAGAUACAUUUAUCUUUUAUUUAAUGUUGUAAAUAAAUACUUGUUAAUAUUUUUUGCAAUCAAAAUACAGUUGUGGUGGUCUUUAUAAGAAUAGCCAAGAGUAUUACAAAUAUACAUUUAUUAAGUAACAUAUAAAACAAGUUGUAUUUUUCCUACAACGAGCCCAGGCCCAGUCUCAUUGUAUUAACCACUCUAGCUUUAUUUUCUAACUACAUGGGACCUGGGUUACAA